GAAAUACAUGAAAUAACUUCACAGGUAGAGACAUGAAACUUUUAGGUAUUUUGAUUUUUUUUUAUUUCUCUUUUAUUUUGCUAAUUUGUAUUAGCUUUUCUUUUUAAAUGUCAGUUUGACCUUCAAAUUCUAAUAAUGGAAGUAUAAUUGACUGUUUCACUGAUGAAGAAAAAAAGCUGAAGUCAACAGGUGAACAGAAGUAAAGAAGCACAAAGAAAAGGAAUGAAGAUUAGAAAGAGACAAACAGAAGGCCUGCAUUUUUUGCUGGGAUUGUCUACUUGGCUGAAAACACAUGAACUUAACUAACCACCCACAAAAAAGGAUCAAAGUACAUCCUAUUCUCCAAAUAUAAAACAUAGGAGAGAAGUGUGUACAAUAUACAGAGUCUAGGGAAAGGGAAGCAGUAUGAUCAGUACAGAAAAAUCAAGAGAGGAUUUACUGUCAAGUGUAUUAUUGAAAUAAGAAACAAACAUAGCAAUUGCCAUUAAUAGAGCCAAACGAAGUGUUUUGCAGAGUAAAUACAAAUACUAUAGGGUUUUGAGUCAAAAAAACGUCUAUCGAAUGAUAUUAUCCAAGCAAUUAACAAAUAAAACUCCCUCUUGGGAAAUCAGUCAAUUGAAAUUUUUGGAUAGUAUAGAGACAUUGCAGAUUUGAGUGAAACUGGUCAUAAUUCAACCAUUGAAUUCGCUGUUUGAAGAGAAUUGUGGAAAACAAACCUCAUUCGAAGGCUUCUGACAUUACAAAACAGCUAGAAGUUAGUCCAAAAACGUGUGUUACAUAUCUGCAUAAGCUUGGGUAUUAUGGACGAGCAGCUGGAAGAAAACCUCUCCUUCAACCAAUUAAUAUCAUGAAAAGACAGAAAUGGGCUAAGGAGAUGUCAGAAAAAUCCAGUUCAUUUUGGGAUAGAGUGAUUUUUCUCAGAUGAAUCCAGAUUUGCACUAGUUUCAGACAGUGGGCAUGUUUGUGUCUGGAGGCUUCCCAAUCAAGAGUUUGAUUUGAAACGACUCCAACCAACUGUGAAACACGGCCGUAUCUCUGUAAUGGUAUGGGGAACUGUCACCAGCAAUGGUUGUUCUGAGCUGAUCGAAUUGAAAAAUACAUCGAAAUACUUAAACAAGGACUACUUCCGAUGUAUUCACAUGAGAACAUAACGAGUUUUUAUUCUUUUCAAUACACUAGCCUGUCCUGUCUGUGAUUGUUGCUUUUCUUUGUUAGGUUUUUUUUCUCUGCUUGUAUUACUCUUUACUUGUUUCAGUCUUUUGACUGUGGCCAUGCUGGAGCACCGCCUUUAGUCGAGCAAAUCGACCCCCAGGACUUAUUCUUUGGAAACCUAGUACUUAUUCUAUCGGUCUCUUUUGCCAAACCGCUAAGUUACGGGGACAUAAACACACCAGCAUCGGUUGUCAAGCGAUGUUGGGGGGACAAACACAGACAUACAAACACAUAUAUACGACAGGCUUCUUUCAGUUUCUGUCUACCAAAUCCACUCACAAGGCUUUGGUCGGCCCGAGGCUAUAGUAGAAGACACUUGCCCAAGAUGCCACGCAGUGGGACUGAACCCGGGACCAUGUGGUUGGUAAGCAAGCUACUUACCACACAGCCACUCCUACGCCUAUUAAUUGUGUAGCUCUCUGUAGUGAAGAGAUGAACCAGAAGGAGAGGGCUGUGACAUCAACGGUUACGGGAGCCCACCAAAAAGGAAGGAGGAGAGAGGAAGUGAGGGAAGCAAGACCAGGGUCGUCCUCUUUUGGCCUGGGACAGUGGUGAUGAAUGGAUGCAAAUGAGCAGAGAUUGGUAGUAGCAGCUGCUAACAUUAGAUGAGACCCGUUGGGCAUUGUGUUUGGACUUAAUACAGCUGGAGAGCAAACAAGAAGAAGUUGGUGAACCAUAUUAUAUUCCUCACAUCACAGUUCCUUUGUACCACACUCUCAUUGGGUAGUGAAGAUCUCUCACUUGUAUCAUUUUCUCUGGCUUUAACAAGCCAGUAAUGUCAGUAAACUGUAUAGCUUCUGAUGUUAUAUUUCCUGUGAAGAAUUGUACUUUAACCUGCAAGAACCAGAAAGUCAGGUAUGUCAUCAGACCAGAAAAGUGGGUAAGCUUUAAUCUGAUGACUGGGCGUAAAACUGAAAUUAUUCGAGACAGUGUGGUGACAGUAAUAAGUCACGAUGAAUCUGGAACAUUUUGUAAAUAUAUUCCUAGACAAGGCUUGAUAGAGGUCAAGAUCAUAAAAUUCAAAACACUGUAUACAAUUGAUGUUCUUGUAAACAUGUGCUGUCCAAUCACAUUAAAGAGGUUGCCAUUGUAGUUACCUUUGUAGAAAAAAUGUAUGUACAGAAAUAACAAUAAAUCAACUAUAGUA